rnacentral:rRNA from 1 species
GGAGUUAGCCGGUGCUUCUUCUGUGAGUGAUGUCCUUCCUGCCGGCUAUUAACCCGNAGGCCUUCUUCCUCACUGAAAGUGCUUUACAACCCGAAGGCCUUCUUCACACACGCGGCAUGGCUGGAUCAGGGUUGCCCCCAUUGUCCAAUAUUCCCCACUGCUGCCUCCCGUAGGAGUCUGGGCCGUGUCUCAGUCCCAGUGUGGCUGAUCAUCCUCUCAGACCAGCUACGGAUCGUCGCCUUGGUGAGCCGUUACCUCACCAACCAGCUAAUCCGACAUAGGCUCAUCCGAUAGCGCGAGGCCCGAAGGUCCCCCGCUUUCCCCCGUAGGGCGUAUGCGGUAUUAGCCUGGGUUUCCCCAGGUUAUCCCCCACUACCGGGCAGAUUCCUAUGCAUUACUCACCCGUCCGCCGCUCGCCACCAGGGAGCAAGCUCCCCGUGCUGCCGCUCGACUUGCAUGUGUUAGGCCUGCCGCCAGCGUUCAAUCUGAGCCAUGAUCAAACUCUGA